UUGGUCGUCUUAGAAGAGCUUCUUGUUCUGUUUCCAUCCCAGUAUGAUGCAAGACCCCAGAACAACUGAAUUGAUGCUACUGAUUCAAAUCAUGGUUAAUUCACAUCUCCCUCUUGGCUGAAGCUAAACCGAAGCUGCUGUCUCUCAUGAAGAUUCUGCCUGCAGCUGCGUGACACAGAUUAUAAAAAGACUCUCAGAUGGAACACAGAAACUUCGCUUCUAAUCAUUCAAAUGCUUCAUUCAGUUGAAAUUAUCGUCUAGGAAAAUUCCAGAUGUUCCGAUGUUUCACUUCCCCAUCUGAAGUUCCCAUCCUGGAGGGCAGCUGGUCACUGAUCUGCGCUGCUACACUGGCAAUGAUCAGCAGGGGUCUGCUCAGGGGCCAGCAAGAGGAUCCACCAAUACCCUGGAGAAAUCAAGUAGGAAUCAAGAAAGAUGAGAAGAAGGGAAAUUUCUAACCCUAGGUUACUCUUGUGUACUCUUCACCAAGAGAACCAGUGAAGGAGGAGGGAAAAUAAAGACAAAAUAAGCAUUUAGGACAGGAGCUGGAGAGAUGGCCGAGAGCAGUCAAGAGUUCUUGUUGCUCUUGAGGAGGAAGGACCUGGAUUCAGUUCAACCAGGUACAACACAACCUAUAGUACCAGUUCCAGGGGAUCCAGUGUCCCCUUCUGACCUUCAAAGGCACACGCGUACAUGUACGUACAGAAAAACCUCACAUGUCAAAUCAAAAGAACACGUUCAGUAAGAUUGUAAAAUAUAUUGGGUGACUUAAGCAAUGGUUUAAACAUUUGUAUAAAUUAAGGGGAACCGCUUUUUCUGAGAGAGUUUUGUGGGGUUUAUGGUGUAAUGUGCAAAGGUUGAACAUCUCCUUUAACACACUGUCUUGAAGUCCGUAUGCCCCAGUGCUCUGAGAAAUGUUAUAGGGGACGAAACACUGACUGGUUUUCUUUGAUGGUCUUUUGCUGCAAAGCAUUGGCUUCCCUCACUUUAAUCAAACCCUCUUUCUUCUGCAAAGUGUCUCAGCUCUGAAGAUGCAGCAAACUACUUUAUGAAGAAGGAUUCUAUGUAGCAAAUCUUACAGAUGAGUGAGUGAGAAAGUACACAAAAAGGAAAAGAAGCAAGAAGAAAGUGCGCAUGUCUGGUUGGUGACCCUCUUGAAGUUGUGAGUCAGGGAAAAAAAAAAACUAAGAAAAAGAAAGAAUGACAAUCUGCUAUGUUUUGACCCUAAAUUAUAGAUAUACCUAUGUGUUGUUAUGAUCCUUUAUCAUAUCAAAUAUUCAAAUCACAACUUCCGGUGGACCUUACAAACUAAUUAUUUCUGGUGGGCCAGAACCAGCUGGUGGCUGGUCAGUAAAUAUGUAUGUCAGAAUACAGAUUUACUGACUAAAUGCAUGCAUGCAUGGGCAUCUUUGUAUGUACUCUUUCAGUCAUUAAAAAUACUCAAGAACUGAUCCAGAACCCUGACCAGCACAGGUACUCAUUUCUAAGUUUGGGGCUAACCUUUAAUUUAUUUUAUUGAAUGCUGGUGGGGGGAUGCUUUGCUUGUGCAAUUUUAGUUGCACAUAAUACAAUAUCAAUCUUUUUUAUGUUUGCAAGAUUAAAACUUUUUUUCCUAUCUGGUUAAUUAUCUCCUUAGAAUUUAGUAAGCUUGGCAGAGGCUGCCCUUUGGGGCUCAUUAAGCCAAAUUUCCACUUCAGGAUUAGAAAUGCAGCAAGAGGAGAGGACAGAUGCAUUCAGAGUCUGAGCUGGGAGCCCGCUUUGCUGAGAGUGCUUUGGAUGCUCUGACACUGUAAGGAGAGAGCUGCCUUUGCACUGGGGCAAGCAGGGAUCUGGAGUAUUGGCACUAGCUAUGUGGUGCAGAAGAGAGCCACCUACGAUGCCUGGGAUCCAGGC
rnacentral:lncRNA from 1 species